UCUAAGGAAGGAAUGACAGAAAGCUGUAUGACGGAGAGACUGAAUGAAUGAAAUGAUCUUAGUGGAGGUUUGAAUAAAGGCUAAUUGUUUUACUAAUAGUUAAACAAGGGAAGAGACGCUUGAUGGAAAACAUCCCAAAAACCCUUUGAGAAUAAAACCCGCCUCCAACCUCUCCACUUCAGACUGAAGCAGAAGCUGAAGACGGACAGGAAGCGAGAGACUGCGGCGGAGCAAAAAGAAGACGGAGGAGACGUGCUGCUUAUUGCAACUUUUUAAAUCUGCCUCCACUUCGCUCACUUUCUGGAGACGGCCAAGGCCGGCAGAAAGACAAUAACAGCUGUGGAGAGGUGAGGCCAGAGCCGCUGCAUCACUUCAGGUUUCUGUCAGGAGGAGCGGCUGAGCGCACCCCAUCCUGUGUGUCUGGAUGUCCUCUCAGAUUGCCCAACAGAUAAUCCAUCACACAGUCAGUGUGUCUGACAGGAAGAGGUCUCAGUCAACUUUGUAGCAU